rnacentral:rRNA from 1 species
GACGAACGCUGGCGGCGUGCUUAACACAUGCAAGUCGAGCGGUAAGGCCCUUUCGGGGGUACACGAGCGGCGAACGGGUGAGUAACACGUGGGUGACCUGCCCUUAGCUCUGGGAUAAGCCUGGGGAAACUGGGUCUAAUACCGGAUAUGACUCCAUGACGCAUGUUGUGGGGUGGAAAGCCUUGUGCGGCUAGGGAUGGGCCUGCGGCCUAUCAGCUUGUUGGUGGGGUGAUGGCCUACCAAGGCGACGACGGGUAGCCGGCCUGAGAGGGCGACCGGCCACACUGGGACUGAGACACGGCCCAGACUCCUACGGGAGGCAGCAGUGGGGAAUCUUGCGCAAUGGGCGAAAGCCUGACGCAGCGACGCCGCGUGGGGAUGACGGCCU